rnacentral:lncRNA from 1 species
AUGGUUGGUAGUUUUGUGAAACUGGAGUAUUUGAACCCGUGCUAGAAAUGCUGUUGAACCGCAUUUCAUACACAGAAUAUCACAUGUAUAUAUGAACUAAGUUUUGCUACUUGAGCUCCAGUGGAUUUCAUGAUCAGCUGGAGAUGUAAUCACCAAGCGUCAGUAACUGGUACUGAAACCUCCCCAGACCUAGGACAGUGGUUCCCAACCUUCCUAAUGCUGCGACCCUUUAAUACAGUUCCUCAGACUGUAGUGACCCCACCAACCAUAAAAUUACUUCGUUGCUACUUCAUAACUAUCAUUGUGCUACUGUUACAAGUUGUAAUGUAAAUAUCUGAUAUGCAGAAUAGCUGGCAUGUGAUUCCUGUGAAAGGGACAGUUGACCCCUCACAAUAAAGGUCACAGCCCACAGGUUGAGAACCCCUGACCUUGGACAAAUACAGCAAAGCAUCACAGGGAAAGAGCACCUUUUCAGAUGAGCUAGUUACUUAAUGGCACAGCAAGGCUUUUCGGGUCUAGUCCAUUUCUGUCUCAACUGUCAGUCAGCAACCGAAGUGUUGCGAUUCAGAAGUGAUGUCCCUGCCUAGCUAGAAUGAAAACCACAGGUUUCAUGCUGCGCUUGGAGAUCUGUGCAGUCCACUGGAGAAACGUGAGUUAGAAGUGAAGAGAGAAGAAGAUGGGAGAGUUCCUCCCACUUACCUUAGUUUUCACCUUUGACUUCAGUACCAGUUUAAAGAAUGGGAUAGGAUGAAGUAGGUCAGAGCCCUUUAUAGUGUAAUGAUGAAACUAAAAGGUUAACAUGUGAAGGAAUGGUGUGUGGUAGUUAUCAAAGGAAUGAUCAGGGUUACCAAACACGUCAGGUGAAAACCAGGCCUCUUGUGAUGGCAUUCCUUCCCCCCACCCUCACUGACACAUCCAUUUUGGGAAAUGCCAUUGUACAUGGACAGGCUUUACCCCCUCAGCCACACUGGACAUUUUGUGGUCUUCAGAAGAAGGAGCCUUUACCAAUCAGAGUCACAUCUGUCUCAUGAGAGGCAGCCUUACUUGUUCUUAGCAAGAAGCUGCUGGCGAGUACGAGCCACAGAGGCCCAGAAGAAGCCAGCACUGCUGGGCUGCGCACCAUGUAAAUAUCUCCUGCCUUCCUCGUGAACAAGAGUGAUCGCCUUGCACAGAGAUAACUGUGUGUGUGUGUAUGUGUGUGUGUGUGUUGUGACUUUAGUUUGUGGAGGAAAUGCAAAAGUUCCUUUGACAGCUUCCCAGAUGUACCUGCUGAGUAUGAACGUGCCUGCCUUGUUGUUGCCUUGUGUGCCAAACACAGUACUGGAUGCAUUGUUUUUAAAUAAACCGUUUUAUUGUGCAUUG